rnacentral:lncRNA from 1 species
UUUUAUGGUUAAUCAAAUUGUUAUUAUUAAUUGUUAUUAUUUGAAUAUAUAUUUGCAAAUGAGACUUCAUAUUUUCCUUGAAAUUAAAAAAAAACAAUAAAAAAAGAUUGCAUUUCAUGCAUCAUUUGUAUAACAGGUUUCUUCCGCCAGAUGUCUUAUCAUUUAUUCUUAUGUGCAUCAACAAAGCUGACUCACCACUACAACACUCGUGCUAAUCGGCUGAAG